rnacentral:pre_miRNA from 1 species
CUACAACUCCCUCCGUCCGAAAAUACUUGUCAUUGAAAUGGAUGUAUCUAGAUGUAUUUUAGUUCUAGACACAUCCAUUUUGAUGACAAGUAAUUCCGGAUGGAGGGAGUAUUAU